AUGGAUUUUUACCUUGAGUAUCUCCACCACAGUUUCAGCAAACCCAACGACAUACAUGGCCACGGCCACGGCGUUGGCGAACGCAAAGAUCAGACCGAUGGAGCCGCCGAACUCAGGACCCAAACUGCGGGAAAUGAGAAAUAAGAAAGUCAUACGGGUUUGGAAAGACAUGAUGAUCUGAAUGUGAGAUUUCUCCUCCUGAAUCUCCACCGACUCACACACUUCUGAGGAGAAACGACAAAAGCGUCUCCAUGCAUUUAUCCCAAAGCCCCUCUAGCCCGUCGCCCCAGCUGGAUGACGGCAUGCUACUGUAGGGGUCCAGCAGGAUCCUGAAACACCUGACGAUCAACAAGCCGAGAAACACCAGCAACAUCCCCACAAACGCAAACGCCGUCUUCUG